rnacentral:rRNA from 1 species
UACGGAGGAUGCAAGCGUUAUCCGGAAUGAUUGGGCGUAAAGCGUCCGCAGGUGGCCAUGUAAGUCUGCUGUCAAAGCGUCUGGCUCAACCAGAUAAAGGCAGUGGAAACUACAUAGCUAGAGUAAGGUAGGGGUAGAGGGAAUUCCUGGUGUAGCGGUGAAAUGCGCAGAUAUCAGGAGGAACACCAAUUGCGAAGGCAGCUCGCUGGGACGUUACUGACGCUGAGACGCGAAAGCGUGGGGAGCAA